rnacentral:misc_RNA from 1 species
GCAAACUUGGUCAUUUAGAGGAAGUAAAAGUCGUAACAAGGUUUCCGUAGGUGAACCUGCGGAAGGAUCAUUACCGAGUUAGGGUCUCACCGGCCCGAUCUCCCAACCCUUGUGUUUAACUAAAACCACGUUGCUUCGGCGAGCCCGUUCCUCCCUGGAGGAACCGCCGGACUUGAUUUCUCAGGUCUGGCCCGCGCCCGUCGGUGGCCAACCACAAAACUCUUGAUGAAAUGUGUCGUCUGAGUCUAUAACCAAAAUUUAAAAACAAAACUUUCAACAACGGAUCUCUUGGUUCUGGCAUCGAUGAAGAACGCAGC